ensembl:lncRNA
AAUAGGUGGAAGGCAUUCAGAGAAAAGUUCAGUAAAGUCUGAAGGAUCCUUUUCAGUUCAAGAUGAAAAUGUGGUGCUAGACACUGAAAGACUACAGGUGAAAAGAAUGAGAAAAAGAUAGAAGACUUAUGACUAAAUAAAGGUUAGGUAAUGGUUUUCAUUCUAGAACCCACCCAGCCCUCGACAAUACUACGUGAUUAACAAGUUUUGUUGAGGAAACAGCAUGAUCCUCAGUGUUUCUCACGGAUUCCUAAAUGAUGACUUUCUCCACUUCACGUAGAUCAAACAGCUUGUGGCAGCAGGUCACCAUAGCCACCAGGACUGGCCCGAGAGAAGUUGACAAUGGCAUGGGCAUGGUCGAUUUAAAUACUGACCUUUGUGUGCUAAAGUGUGAAGAGACUUUUAAUGCCAACACAACUCAUACAAGGUUGACAGAGAUGACAAUUCUGCCAAAUAGUUGAGUGUGCACUUGAUAUACAGGGUAUCACACAGAAAUCUGAAGGGACCACAAAUGCACAGCUGUACGAAUCUCCACUGUGUUGUAAAGAAAUGACCUAAAUUCUAUCCUUUUUAUUGGUCGACACUUUUCGAAAUACAUUAUGUGCAUAUGUUUUCACGGCAUACGCCUUGUUUUUUUCCCUCGCCAUGUGUUUUUACUUAUGGAGUAGACCAGACCAGAGCCCAUACCUUGGCAGGAAACAAGAGCACAAACAAUUGUAUCUGAGCCAGCUAUUUGGCUGUGCUCCCUGGUAAUGCUGAUUUUCAGUUCUGUUCAUGCGCAUAAUUCCAGUCACCCAGUCUGUUAUUCCACAAGUAGUCUUUUGUCUCCGUGUUACCCAGAAUGCCACACUUCAAAAGGAGGUGGCAAAUUCUUCUCCUUCCCCUGAGAUGCAUUAAGAUGAAUGUUCAUUAAGGUGAAGGUUCAUUAAGGUGAAUGUUCAUUAAGGUGAAUGUUCAUUAAGGUGAAUGUUCAUUAAGGUGAAUGUUCAUUAAGGUGAAUGUUCAUUAAG